CAUUAAUGCAAAUGAUUCCUCGAGGAGAUUUGUAAGUACGUGUGCUUCUUCAACUUUUGUUUUGUAAUUCAAAAUUUAUGCAAAUGAUUGCAAGGCUCAAUUCAUGUGAGGUUUCCAUGGUACAAUCUUCACAUGUUGAUGGAUUUUCUGUGCCUGGUAGCUGUCAUCAUUUUGGUAAUCGACAUUUCAAAAUGCAUCUGUUGGCUUGAAAUUUGUAAAAAGGUUUUCAUUUUCAAGUGAUAGCAGGUCAUAUUUGUCUGCAUAGGAAAAAUAUAGAGUGAGGCCUUAGUUGAUAGAAUCGGUGUGUCCCUAUUCGUUUAUAUUCCUGAAAUUUCGUUGAUAGCAUUACAUAUCGUCUAUCAGCAUAAUUUUGGAUUCCUUCAUUGAAAUUCACUUCUCCUAUCUGAUUUACUAGCGACAUUUCUGAACUUCUGUUUUACAGAAGUAGGGACGAUCUGGAAAUAUCACAAUAAUUUUGCAAGUUUUAGUCAUAAAACCGGUUGCUUUUGUCAACUAAGUUGAGUGGUGAUUGUCAGAUUCUUCUUCUGUAGCAGGAGCAGCUUCAUCAUCGUUCGAUUUGUAGAUAGGACGAACAUAAAUUUGCACCAACUCACAGUGAUUUGUUGUCCCAUCGGCAGGACUAGACCAGCACCAAAAUUAAUCGUAAAUUAUCAUCUUCAAAGUGGGAACAAGCCCAACAUUUUUUAUGUCACAGCUGAGUUGCUAAUGGAUCGAGACCAGAAGAGUUGGCAAUAUACAAUGUUGAGAUUCGCAUUCGGGUUUGAUCAACACAAUUUUGAAUUUUCCAUUAGAGGUUCAAUUUUAAUGGUUGUGGUUUAUCCUUUCCGUGGUUUUGAGUUCCAGAGCAAAAACUUAAGGCUGUUAAUUUAUUGUUUAUCUCCUGUAAAAGAACAUCCACUCACAGUUUGGAUAAGAGUUUGUAUUGCUAGGAAGAUGGCAAUAUCAAAUUGAAGUGUUGUAAAUAUUUGCAAUUUUUAUGUUGGGUGGAA
rnacentral:lncRNA from 1 species